rnacentral:SRP_RNA from 1 species
GCCGGGCUUGGUGGCUCGUGCCUGUAGUCCCAGCUACUCGGGAGCCCAGGCAUUCUGGGCUGUAGUGUGCUAUGCCAAUCGGUGUCCACACUAAGUUUGGCAUCAAUAUGGUGACCUCCCAGGAGUGGAGGAUGACCAGGUUGUCUGGGGAGGGGUGAACCAGCCCAGGUCGGAAACAGAGCAGCUGAAAACUCCUGUGCUGAUCAGUAGUGGGAUUGUGCCUGUGAAUAGCCACUGCACUCCAGCCUGGGCAACAU